rnacentral:lncRNA from 10 species
UGGGAGAGAACAAAGUGACAUACUUAAACCCUGAAGCAGAUCGUGCCUGAGGCUACCUUUGCCCAUAAACAAUUCCAGGAGACAAGAUCUCCCUCUGGAACCCGGGCUGGAAUACAGUGGCACACUCAUACCUCACUGCAGCCUUGAACUCCUGGGCUCAAGCGAUUCUCCCACCUCAGCUUCCUGAACAGCUGGGAAUACAGGCGCACCUCACCACACCCAGCUUCAGUCAGCCUGUUCUUGAUGCCUGGAGUCCCUUAUUAGAGAACUUCUCUGGUUUCCUAAAUAUUGUUCCUUAUUUAAAAUGCAACUUAGCACCUCCAGAAGUGUCUGUAGUGCUCUCUUGUCCCCAUAAAUGAGUUAGUUGUGUUCCAAGAUGCAUUCUACCAUGGGCUGAGUGUCCUGGGUUUCUCAAGACGUAUAUUUCAAUGUUAGGGCAUAUGUACACAGGCAGUUUUGGUAGGGCCCAACCUUCUUGUAUAUGUCAGUGCAUAAGCAUGGUGUGAUACAGAGAUGCUUAACCCGUGGGCCCCAAAACAGGGCAUUAGGAGAUCUGUGAGUCCCUCGAUAUUAGAUGCAAAAUUGCCUUGGUGCCCUUGUACCUCUUUG